rnacentral:misc_RNA from 1 species
AAAUCGUUUGUGAUUGAUUAUUAUAGAAAACAUAUGAAGGGAUAAUAUUUAUGACCACAAUCUCAACAACUACAUCAAAAACAUAAUCAAAUCGUUAUGAUUACAACACAAAAAGCUUGACAAACUUGAAGAUUGGGCAUCAACAAGAACAUCCAUCUAAGAACGUGGUGGACAACUAUUUAAGUGUUGACAUUCGGGGGUUGUGGACCAUUUUGAUAAAUUAGAUUUGCUUGAUGAGAA